rnacentral:rRNA from 1 species
GUGCCAGCCGCCGCGGUAAGACGAACCGUGCGAACGUUAUUCGGAAUCACUGGGCUUAAAGCGCGUGUAGGCGGGCCGCCACGUCGGCUGCUGAAAUCCCCCGGCUCAACCGGGGAACGGGCACCGAUACGAGCGGCCUCGAGGGGGGUAGGGGGGUCUGGAACUUCCGGUGGAGCGGUGAAAUGCGUUGAGAUCGGAAGGAACGCCCGUGGCGAAAGCGAGGCCCUGGACCCUUUCUGACGCUGAGACGCGAAAGCCAGGGGAGCGAACGGGAUUAGAAACCCUGGUAGUCC